CAAGAAGGUAGUAAGAUUUAUUCAUUAGAGUUUAUCUAGGUUUCUUGAUAAGAUUGGGUUAUGUGAUCAAAUAAAAAUGUUUAUUCGUAUUGGGGAUGUGACUAAAUUUUAGGUCUUCGUUCGUAUGACUUAUGGUUCAACCAUGGAUGUCAACAACAAGACGUUUCAGUGAGUGGUAGGGCAAUAUUAUAUAUAUUUCUUUUUCUAAUCACACACUUUAAAUUGUCAAUCACUUCAUUCUUUUGUGAGUUAAAAUUUCCAUUUUAGAAUCGUUAUUACUCGGUUUUGAUUAUCGAUCUUGCAAACACUUUGCCCAAACACUCUGUGAUCCACCUCUGAUCUGCAACGUAAAUGUAUUCAUUCAACGAGGAGGCUUCUUUAAUCUGCCCAUUCUCUCUUUACACUUCAACAAUAAGGAGUCUGCUUGACCUCAAAGCCAAGUGUGAUGGUGUCUAAUUUCCUUCAAAAUGCUAUAAGAGCUGCUCGAUGAAGUAAGAAUCAAGUAUAAUAAUGACCUGUCAUCUGGAUGAUCAAGUUUCAAUUCUUGAUUAACAAAGAUGAAAAGUACGACAGAAAGUUAAAGUCUGGACUCUAUUCUCUGUAGGUAAAUCAUUGACUAUUGACUUUUUCAUUUUUUAACAAGACUAAUCUCCAUUCUCCACUAUUGGACUUGUGCAUGUGAACUUGUGUUAAAAAGAAAACUUUCGAGACUAAUCAAACAAAUCCAACAACUGAACCAGGUGGUUUGCGUUUAUUGCUAUUUUUUUUAUUCAGUUGCAUGUUUAGUUAUUGUAGUAAUACUAAAGAGUUGAUAUCUACAUGUAUAUUGCUUUAUACAACAUGUGCAAAACUUUGGGCAACCAUUCUUCCCGGCAAUUCGGGUGGGUGAGACAUUAGUUGAAGAACGAGUUAUAGAUGUAUGAGGAGUUUUACAUGGCAUAUGAGUCUGGAAAUAAAGUACUGAACAACAUCAUAUAUGGACCUGGAGGAAAUAAGUACUGAUAUUGUAAGCAAGUGCAGAAUUUUGGGGAGCCUUUCUUUUUGAUAUUCAAAAGGUGCAUUUGGAGAGGGAGAAGACUACCGACAAUGUGUAUGCAAUGAAAAAACUUAAAAAAUCUGAAAUGCUUCGUAGAGGACAGGUUGAACAUGUGAAAGCAGAAAGAAAUCUACUUGCAGAAGUUGAUAUAAUUGCAUUAUUAAACUUUAUUGUUCAUUUCAAGAUGAGGAAUAUCUUUACCUAAUAAUGGAAUAUUUACCUGGUGGAGAUAUAAUGACUUUACUUAUGCGAAAAGAUACAUUAACCGAAGAGGAAGCUAGGUUUUAUGUCGGAGAAACUGUUUUGGCAAUCGAAUCCAUUCACAAACAUAACUAUAUUCAGAGGAAAAUGAUUUCACUGCUGCAAAGAACUUAAGUGGGGCUCUUCAAAGUGAUGAACGCCCUGCUGUACCGAGACGCACUCAACAGGAGCAACUGCAACAUUGGCAGAGAAAUAGGAGGAUGCUGGCGUGCCACUGGAGAUAUGAUGAUGGGCAUCCAAUUAUGAGUGACGAAGGUUUUCCGGCUUAGAUCGGAAGUGCAUGUCAUGGCCUAUGCGUAACUACAUGAUUAGACGCCUGGACAACAUAUGAAAGCCUCGGUGGUUCUCAUUCCUGGGAGUUCACUCUUUGGAGGUCAUAUGGCACGUUUUUAAACAUUAUUAGCUCAAUAAUAGUUGCUUGCUAAAGCUAAAUUUAAGCUGAAAUAACAUUUUAUUUAUUAGUUCUGAUAUAGAUCCGGCCGUAGUGGUUUCUGCAUUGUAGUUCCAAGUAUUUUUGCAUGAAAUUUUGGUUUGUCCUUCAUAUGACAAAACUAAAAGAGAAUAUUGUUGUGAUUCCAUUUGACUCUUUUCACUAUUGGGUAUAUAAUAUAGUCUAUGCAUAUCGAACGAAAUUAGAUAUUUGAUUUCUACUUUGCCUUCAUAGCAAGUCCCUUUUAUUCUAGAAAAUUAAUUGAUUAGAUGGUAAAAAGCUAUUGUUGAGGGCAUAAAUAAUGAACAAAUCUCACGGCAAGUAACAAUUUUGUAAUCAUGUAUACAACAUACUAAAGUAAUUAUUGAUGAUUUAGGGACAA